rnacentral:rRNA from 1 species
GACGAACGCUGGCGGCGUGCUUAACACAUGCAAGUCGAACGAAGAGCGAUGGAAGCUUGCUUCUAUCAAUCUUAGUGGCGAACGGGUGAGUAACGCGUAAUCAACCUGCCCUUCAGAGGGGGACAACAGUUGGAAACGACUGCUAAUACCGCAUACGAUCUAACCUCGGCAUCGAGGAUAGAUGAAAGGUGGCCUCUACAUGUAAGCUAUCACUGAAGGAGGGGAUUGCGUCUGAUUAGCUAGUUGGAGGGGUAACGGCCCACCAAGGCGAUGAUCAGUAGCCGGUCUGAGAGGAUGAACGGCCACAUUGGGACUGAGACACGGCCCAGACUCCUACGGGAGGCAGCAGUGGGGAAUCUUCCGCAAUGGACGAAAGUCUGACGGAGCAACGCCGCGUGAGUGAUGACGGCCUUCGGGUUGUAAAGCUCUGUUAAUCGGGACGAAAGGCCUUCUUGCGAAUAGUGAGAAGGAUUGACGGUACCGGAAUAGAAAGCCACGGCUAACUACGUG